GAUGAACGCUGGCGGCGUGCCUAAUACAUGCAAGUCGAGCGAACAGACGAGGACCUUGCUCCUCUAACGUUAGCCACGGACGUGUGACUUACACAUCCAUCCCCUACCUUUAAGAUUGGUAUAACUUCCUGAAACCGGUGCUAAUACCAGAUCCUUUCUUCAACCGCAUGGUUCCAUAGCGUACGCCGGUUUUGCUGUCACUUCUAGAUGUCUCCGCGCUGCUUUAGCUAGUUGUUACGGUAACGGCUUCCCAAGGCCACGAUGCGUAGCCAACCUGUCAGGGGGAUCGGGCACAGUGGAACUGAGACACGGUACAGACACCUAGGGGAGGCAGCAGUAGGGAAGCGUGCGAGAUGGGGGAAAGACUGACGGAGGAACGGCGGGCGAGUGAUGAAGGUCUGCGGAUCGUAAAACUCUGUUAUGAGGGAAGAACAAAUGUGUAAGUAACUAUGCACGUCGUGACGGUACCUAAACAGAAAGCAACGGCUAACUACGUG
rnacentral:rRNA from 1 species